GUCAGGAGCAGGUGCAGUGAAUAGUUGGUUGAAUACAGCCGCCAAUCCAGCAUCAAAACCGAUGGUUUUGGAACACGACGGAAUAUCACUAUGCUCUCCCUGUAUAUAUACGCUUACCAGCAUUAAGCUUUGUACGUGCAAGAAACUUCAAAGGUGGUAAAGAUUAAUCUCUGAGUUUGAGCGAUCGAUCCAUCGACCGAUGAGCCUGAGGUACGCGAGCAGGGUGUUGCUGAGAGCGGCGGCGCAGGCCAUGAGGGCCGCGAGGCAGCCGGCGCCUGCGGUGGCCAAGCCGGUGCCAGCGGCGAAGCCAUCGGCGGUGGCGCCAGGCACGGCUCAGCGGCAGCAGGCGAAGCGGCUCUCCGGUGGCGUGGCUGAGCCGGCGGAGAAGGCGGCCGUGGCGGAGAGGAUGAGGCGGCGGCGCAGGGAGAAGUCCGAGAAUGUGAUGCAGCUCGUGUGCUGGGGACCCAGUUAGCCGCGAUGCUUCUGUUGCUGCUGUAGUGCUGUGACAUCAGUUGAGCAGAGUGACUAGUGUGAUUUGUGCCUUAUGUUCGUUUCCUUUUGUAAGAUGGUAGAAUCUGUGAAAUUUUGACGGUAUUGUAUUCUGCAAGAUGCUAUGAAAUAGUGAAGUACUGUUCCUUUUCUGAAAUUUUGUUUA